CAUUACCGAGUUUACAACUCCCAAACCCAAUGUGAACGUUACCAAACUGUUGCCUCGGCGGGGUCACGCCCCGGGUGCGUCGCAGCCCCGGAACCAGGCGCCCGCCGGAGGAACCAACCAAACUCUUUCUGUAGUCCCCUCGCGGACGUUAUUUCUUACAGCUCUGAGCAAAAAUUCAAAAUGAAUCAAAACUUUCAACAACGGAUCUCUUGGUUCUGGCAUCGAUGAAGAACGCAGCGAAAUGCGAUAAGUAAUGUGAAUUGCAGAAUUCAGUGAAUCAUCGAAUCUUUGAACGCACAUUGCGCCCGCCAGUAUUCUGGCGGGCAUGCCUGUCCGAGCGUCAUUUCAACCCUCGAACCCCUCCGGGGGAUCGGCGUUGGGGAUCGGGACCCCUCACACGGGUGCCGGCCCCUAAAUACAGUGGCGGUCUCGCCGCAGCCUCUCCUGCGCAGUAGUUUGCACAACUCGCACCGGGAGCGCGGCGCGUCCACGUCCGUAAAACACCCAACUUUCUGAAAUGUUGACCUCGGAUCAGGUAGGAAUACCCG
rnacentral:misc_RNA from 1 species